GAUCUUGUUACUUAAAUAAAAAAUAUAAAAAAAUUUAAAAAAGUUAAAAAAAAGAAAGAGGCGGUAUAGUAAAUGCACCCCAUAUACACCUCAACACAGGCCCUUUGUCUGGUCUGUACUGUGAAUUGGGGGACAAAA